rnacentral:rRNA from 1 species
GACGUAGGGCGCGAGCGUUGUCCGGAUUUAUUGGGCGUAAAGAGCUCGUAGGCGGCUUGUCGCGUCGUCCGUGAAAACCUGCGGCUCAACUGCAGGCUGGCGGUCGAUACGGGCAGGCUGGAGUACUGCAGGGGAGACUGGAAUUCCUGGUGUAGCGGUGGAAUGCGCAGAUAUCAGGAGGAACACCGGUGGCGAAGGCGAGUCCCUGGACGAUACCUGACACUGAGGCACGAAAGCCAAGGGAGCAAACAGG